AAUGGCUUAGGUCCCAUGAUCACACAUAACAACAUAGUCAUAAGAUGCACGUAAACAAGUAAUCAAACGCGAUAAUAAAAUAUAUAUAACCAUAUGAAUAAGCGUAAAAUCCCUCACCUUAGUAUCCAAGCUUAUAAAUUCAAUCAAAUCUGAAACGAGGAUCCUAGUUACACCGUACCUAAUUAAAUAGAUAAAAUGUUUCAAUAUGAAUCCUAACUAUAACUUAAAUUCGAAUUCUGUAAAUAAAUCUUAUAUAAUUAAAUAUAUAUACUUAAGCAUUAAAAAUAUAAACCUUUUGGAAUUAAACUAAAUUAUUUAGAAUUUAAAGAAAUUUAAUAAGUUUAUAAAAAAAAUACUCCUAUACUAACAAUUACCGUCAACUAUCUUAAUUAUAGAAAAACUGAUUUAACUUAAAUCAAUUAACUACAUAAAAAGAAAGAUUUUCGGAAUUCCAGAUUUGGUUAGCUCAAUAAAAAUAAAACGCCACUUUAUAAAUUCAUUAGAAUUUUGAAACUUAAACAAUGAUGUAACCAAAUAAGUCUUCGCAGACUACUACUUGAAAAAGAAAAAAAAAGUUUUAAACUCCAUCCAAAAAUAUUGUCUAAGCCAAAAAGGAUUAUAAUUUAAUUGAACAAAAGCAUUAAUAUACUAAAAAUGAUUAAAUCUGAAUUGACCUUUUACGAAAAGCUUUACAGAUGAAUGGGUAUCAAAGCUACAUGAAAAUCAAUUACUAAAAAAAAAUUAUUUUCAAAAGCUACUACCUAUGCGUAACAAUUAAAAGAGAAGAAAAAAAUGUGUACCGAUUAUGAUUGCUUGAUUCGGGUUCUGCGUAUAGGUUUUUUUUUGGAGUAAUAUUUGUGCUUCUAUUUAUACUAGUUACGUGGAGUUUUUGAUAAGUAUAAAAAUUAUAUUCUAUGUUUAUCUUCUAGGAUAAAGAAUAAAGAUGAUAAAAGAGUUCUAGUUCUAAUAGGAAUUGAAAUAAUAAUAAUAAUAAUAAUAAUAAUAAUAAUAAUAAUAAUAAUAAUAAUAAUAAUAAUAAUAAUAAUAAUAAAUAAUACUAAUAAUAAUAAUAAUAACUUAUAAAUUAAUAGUGCAUAUUAUAAUAAUAGUAUAAUAAUAAUAAUAAUAAUAAUAAUAUAGUAAUAAUAAUAAUAAUAAUAAUACUUAUAUAAUAAUUCUAAUAAUAAUAUAGUAGUAGUAGUAGUAGNAGAUCAAUGGCUUAGGUCCCAUGAUCACACAUAACGACAUAGUCAUAAGAUGCACGUAAACAAGUAAUCAAACGCGAUAAUAAAAAUAUAUAUAACCAUAUGAAUAAGCGUAAAAUCUCUCACCUUAAAUGCGAGACUUAUAAAUUCAAUUAAAUCCAGAAUGAGGAUCCUAAUUGCAUUGCACCUAACUAAAUAGAUAAAACGUUUCAAUAUGAAUCCUAACUAUAACUUAAACUAGAAUUCUGUAAAUAAAUCUUAUAUAAUUAAAUAU
rnacentral:lncRNA from 1 species